rnacentral:lncRNA from 1 species
GGUGAUUUCAGAUGCCUGCAGGUGAUCAGAUAUCUAAGUAACCCUCUUGCCACCAAAUAACCACACACACUUCAGUUACUCUUUCAAAAAAAUUAUCAAGCAACUGCUCUAUGCCAGAGACUCUUCUAGUCCUGAAGAUAUAGUGAUAAAUAAGAUAGAGACAGUUCCUGCUGCCAUUCAUUCAGCUUGGUUCUAGUGAGAAAGACAGAUAUAUUAAAAAAUAACUUGACAUUACAUUUUCAAGAAUUUAAGUACUUUAUUGGAAAAUAUAACUGUGUAAGAAGACACUUAUUGACAAGGACACCUUUAGUUCUUGUAGCGAGGAAGUAUAGACUUAACUCUUAUUAGUAAAAGAGUGUUUAAGAAUAAAAAUAUAUCAAUACCCCUAACUUUGGAGACAAACUGAAGUACUGAAUGUACUUCUAUUUUUGAUUUUUCCCUUAGCAUGGUGAGUUGUUUGGGAAAUGAUUCAAUAGUUAUUUGUAGUUUCUAAAUUCUCAGCAGCAGUUGCCUCCUGAUAUGUGUCACUAUAUAUUCUGAGUUGACAUCUGUUAUCUGAAUCACCAAAAUAGUGCCUUGUUUUAAAAUUUAUCCACUAUUGGCUUAUGUUUUAUCUUACUCUAGGCCAUGUUAUCACUACAUGUGACAUCUCUGUAUAUGUGUUUGUGAAACUGGGAUAAAGUUGGCAAAACUUGAGAUAGAGGAAACUAUCUAUGAAACAUGUUUUGCAUUAGUAGAACAGGAGGCAUAAGCACAUUUGGAAUAGAAAGAACAGAGAAGGCGAUAUUGGAGAAAUAGGAUCUCACAAAGGAAAGUAGAAUGCAAGUAGAGAACUUAAAUGCAAUUUAGGCAACAACCUAUGCAAUUUGGACAACUAUAGACCUACUAUGGCUUAUGGUUUCUACCAACUAGACUUAAGCUCCUUUUGGAAUAAAGCCUUUGCCUCAUGGAGGAAGUCAGUUAAUGUUUAUUGAUUGUGAUUUUGAUGAUGACAUUCAUGAUGAUGUUCUAUUUGGGGAAUGUUUUUCAAAGUGGGGCUUUGACCUGACAAACUGUUAUACCGAUAGAAAAAUCAACAUUCUCUCACUGACUCCUUAGGUAUUUGAUGGAUAUAUGAAAGAAAAAUAAUUUGAUAUGACCAAGCAAUAGUGAAGUGUAGGAUAUUGAUCUCCAGAGACUUGUGAGACUAAAAAUUGUGCAAACGAAUAAAAAAAAAACAUAGUCUAGAUUAUCCCAAUGUUGAACAAUAUACUUAUGUUUACACAUAAUGUUGGAAAAGGCAUCAGUGCAAUUUCUGCAAUGCACUGAUGAUAAUGAUAAUGAAAUUUUAGUGACAAUGUGAUAAUGAAAUUUUAGAAGAAAUUAUAAUUAGUUUUUCAUCUCUCUUAAAUGGAUGUGUUGUUUUUUCUGUCCUCUUCCCUCUCCAUUUAUGCCUGUUCUGAUUCCUUGUUGACUUGGGGAAAUAUACAUGUGGAUAAUAAGCGUGAACAUUUCUGCAGAAACAAAGCAGGUCUACUAUGCUUCAGCAGGCUUAACUCAUUUGUUUAAUGAGGGUUUGGGAAGAUGGUGGGGUUUCCUACAUAUAGUCAAUGCAUACUUAAGAACACCUACUAUGUGCUGGCUUCAUUUUAGUCUCUAGGAACUGGGAGACAUAUUGAGCCAUUUGUAUCUACAUAUAUUAAAAUUGUUGUACCGAAGAGUAUUUCAAGGUCUUCUAUCUAUCUGUUUUCUUUUGGAUGGAAGCAGUCAGUGCAAACCAGCAUGGUGAAUGAGCUUGACUGUAUUUAGGAGAAAAAAUUCUCACUUCUGGGGUUUUUGCUACAGAUUUUAAGAAUGGGGAGCUGUUUUCAGAACUAAAAGUUUGCCAGCGCACUAAUAAGAUGUAAAAUGAAGAAAAAUUAAAAGAUAGCUCUAUCGUUUCAAAGAAUGUGGAGCUACUUUGGCUUCAUCGGCAGAGUAAGUCUGUUAAUAACCCCGAAGCACUCCCCUUGUUGAAAUAACACAAAUUAGCGUUUAACCUGGGAGGAAGAACACGUGAAGUUAUUUAACAUUUACAUAAAAUUAUGGAGUAAACUCCAAACAGGUCGCCUCCAAAAUGUAUAAUUACACUCAGCAGUCCUGUCAGCAUACAUAGAAACAAUUUUAUUUCCAAUCAUCUUCUGCUUUUAUUCACUCAGGAAUGUAUCAUUAAAAUUUCCACAGAACAAUGAACCUUAAUAGGCGCUAAUGCAAUUGUGAAUUAUGGUAAUUGUUACCUAAAUUAAUCUCUGUACUUUCCAUUCCUUAUUGCCCUGUGCAUAAGGAGUGUGAAAAAGAUAAUGUUGAAACUGACAUUUGUAUAAAUGGUAGAAAAAUUUAUCUUAUUUAAUAAAAAUUUAAUAUAAGAACUUGCUACUUUGUAAAGUAGUUUACUUAGAAAAAAAUGUUAGAUUUGUUGCAAGUUGGGUUUAUACAAUCUUUAAUUUGUGAAAUUUGGGAGGGAAAAUGGCAGUUGACCCAUUAUGGUUAUCUCUGGGGUAUGUGUAUGCACCGAGGUAUCUGGAUGGCACAUGUGUGUUCCUCCGUGCACAUACUGCCAGGGCAGUGUAUGCAUUCGUACCCUUAUCUGUGUGCAUGGCCUCUUUCUGUGUGUUUAUGUUUACUCAUUUACGUAAACUACCCUCUUGGUGUAAUAAAAUCCACCAUUAUGUGUUGAAUUGUGUUCCUCUCAAAUUCAUAUGCUGAAGUCUCCUAGUUCUUCAGAAUGUGACCAUAUUUGAAGAUAGGACCUUUAAAGAAGUGAUUAAGUUAAAAUUAGGCCGUAUGUUUGGGAUCUAAUCCAAUGUGACUGGUGUCCAUCUAAGAAGAAGAAAUUAGGACAGAGACAUAGAGGGAAGACCAUGUGAAGACACAGGGAUAAGAUGGCCGUCUACAAGCCAAGGAGAGAGGCUCCUGAAGAAACCAGCCCUGCCAAUACCAUCAUGUCAGAUAUAUGGCCUCCAGAACUGUGGGAAAAUAAAUUUCUGUUGUUUAAGCCACA